GUUUCUGUAGUGUAGUGGUUAUCACGUUCGCCUAACACGCGAAAGGUCCUUGGUUCGAAACCAGGCAGAAACA
rfam:Astyanax mexicanus chromosome 23, whole genome shotgun sequence.